GAUGAAGAACGUAGCGAAAUGCGAUAAGUAGUGUGAAUUGCAGAAUUCAGUGAAUCAUCGAAUCUUUGAACGCACAUUGCGCCCCUUGGUAUUCCAUGGGGCAUGCCUGUUCGAGCGUCAUUUGUACCUUCAAGCUUUGCUUGGUGUUGGGUGUUUGUCUCGCCUCCGCGUGUAGACUCGCCUCAAAACAAUUGGCAGCCGGCGUAUUGAUUUCGGAGCGCAGUACAUCUCGCGCUUUGCACUCACAACGACGACGUCCAAAAGUACAUUUUUACACUCUUGACCUCGGAUCAGGUAGGGAUACCCGCUGAACUUAAGCAUAUCAAUAAGCGGAGGA
rnacentral:misc_RNA from 1 species